GCUUCUAAAGGAUAAUAGUUCAUCCGUUGGUCUUAGGAACCAAAAACUCUUGGUGCAACUCCAGUAGCAGCU
rnacentral:tRNA from 1 species